rnacentral:rRNA from 1 species
GUUUGGUCCUAGCCUUACUAUCAAGUGCUACUUAAUUUACACAUGCAAGUUUCCGCAUCCCGGUGAAAACGCCCUUAAACUCCUCUUAGGAAAACGGAGCCGGUAUCAGGCUCAACUCUGUUAGCCCAUGACACCUAGCCACGCCACACCCCCAAGGGUACUCAGCAGUGAUUAACAUUAAAAAUUAGCGCCAGCUAGAUUUAGUUAAAGUAAAUAGGGCCGGCAAAUCUGGUGCCAGCCGCCGCGGCUACACCAUGAGGCCCAAUUUGAUAGUUACCGGCGUAAAGCGUGAUUAAAGUGAUCUAGAAACACUAGAGUUAAAUUGCAACUAUACUGUGAUAAGUUUGUUACCAAGAAACCCAAGAACGAAAGUCACUCUAGCACCACCUACUUGAAUUCACGACAGCUAGGAAACAAACUGAGAUUAGAUACCUCACUAUGCCUAGCCGUAAACCCUUUAAUUACCCCCAAAAUC